rnacentral:tRNA from 1 species
UGGCCCCAUCGUCUAGCUCGGCCUAGGACACCAGGUUUUCAUCCUGGCGACAGGGGUUCGAAUCCCCUUGGGGUCAA